GAUCAUGGCUCAGGACGAACGCUGGCGGCGUGCUUAACACAUGCAAGUCGAACGAGAAUCUACUGAAGGAGUUUUCGGACAACGGAAGCAGAGGAAAGUGGCGGACGGGUGAGUAACGCGUGAGGAACCUGCCUUGAAGAGGGGGACAACAGUUGGAAACGACUGCUAAUACCGCAUGACGCAUAGAGGUCGCAUGAUCUUUAUGCCAAAGAUUUAUCGCUUCAAGAUGGCCUCGCG
rnacentral:rRNA from 1 species